AUCUGGGAAGCGCUGGAACGGCGUCUAAUACUGGAUAUGAGCCUCUUCCGCAUGGUGGGGGUUGGAAAGAUUUUUUGGUCUGGGAUGGGCUCGCGGCCUAUCAGCUUGUUGGUGAGGUAAUGGCUCACCAAGGCGUCGACGGGUAGCCGGCCUGAGAGGGUGACCGGCCACACUGGGACUGAGACACGGCCCAGACUCCUACGGGAGGCAGCAGUGGGGAAUAUUGCACAAUGGGCGAAAGCCUGAUGCAGCAACGCCGCGUGAGGGAUGACGGCCUUCGGGUUGUAAACCUCUUUUAGCAGGGAAGAAGCGAAAGUGACGGUACCUGCAGAAAAAGCGCCGGCUAACUACGUGCCAGCAGCCGCGGGUAAUACGA
rnacentral:rRNA from 1 species